rnacentral:rRNA from 1 species
AGCGAACGCUGGCGGCAGGCUUAACACAUGCCAGUCGAGCGGGCAUCUUCGGAUGUCAGCGGCAGACGGGUGAGUAACACGUGGGAACGUACCCUUCGGUUCGGAACAACUCUGGGAAACUGGAGCUAAUACCGGAUACGCCCUUAUGGGGAAAGGUUUACUGCCGAAGGAUCGGCCCGCGUCUUAUUAGCUAGUUGGUGGGGUAACGGCCUACCAAGGCGACGAUCAGUAGCUGGUCUGAGAGGAUGAUCAGCCACACUGGGACUGAGACACGGCCCAGACUCCUACGGGAGGCAGCAGUGGGGAAUAUUGGACAAUGGGCGCAAGCCUGAUCCAGCCAUGCCGCGUGAGUGAUGAAGGCCUUAGGGUUGUAAAGCUCUUUUGUCCGGGACGAUAAUGACGGUACCGGAAGAAUAAGCCCCGGCUAACUUCGUG